rnacentral:rRNA from 1 species
GCUAAACGCGAAGAACCUUACCCAGGCUUGACAUGCAGAUGACUGACCUAGAAAUAGGUAGUCCCUUCGGGGCAUCUGCACAGGUGCUGCAUGGCUGUCGUCAGCUCGUGCCGUGAGGUGUUGGGUUAAGUCCCGCAACGAGCGCAACCCUUAUCAUUAGUUGCCAGCAUUUAAGGUGGGAACUCUAAUGAGACUGCCUGGGUUAACCAGGAGGAAGGUGAGGAUGACGUCAAGUCAGCAUGGCCUUUAUAUCCUGGGCUACACACACGCUACAAUGGCCGGUACAGUGGGCCGCGAAGCCGCGAGGCGAAGCCAAUCCCCCAAAGCCGAUCUCAGUUCGGAUUGUAGUCUGCAACUCGACUACAUGAAGCUGGAAUCGCUAGUAAUCGCGCAUCAGCAACGGCGCGGUGAAUACGUUCCCGGGUCUUGUACACACCG